UACGUAGGGUCCGAGCGUUGUCCGGAAUUAUUGGGCGUAAAGAGCUUGUAGGCGGUCUGUCGCGUCUGCUGUGAAAAUCCGGGGCUCAACCCCGGACUUGCAGUGGGUACGGGCAGACUAGAGUGUGGUAGGGGAGACUGGAAUUCCUGGUGUAGCGGUGAAAUGCGCAGAGAUCAGGAGGAACACCCGUAGCGAAGGCGGCACACUGGGCCGAUACUGACGCUGAGGAGCGAAAGCGUGGGGAGCGAACAGG
rnacentral:rRNA from 1 species